rnacentral:rRNA from 1 species
UACGAAGGGGGGCUAGCGUUGUUCGGAAUUACUGGGCGUAAAGCGCACGUAAGCGGAUUUGUAAGUCAGGGGUGAAAUCCCAGAGCUCAACUCUGGAACUGCCUUUGAUACUGUCGAUCUAGAGUAUGGAAGAGGUGAGUGGAAUUCCGAGUGUAGAGGUGAAAUUCGUAGAUAUUCGGAGGAACACCAGUGGCGAAGGCGGCUCACUGGUCCAUUACUGACGCUGAGGUGCGAAAGCGUGGGGAGCAAACAGG